rnacentral:rRNA from 1 species
GACGAACGCUGGCGGCGUGCUUAACACAUGCAAGUCGAACGGAAAGGCCCUGCUUGCAGGGUACUCGAGUGGCGAACGGGUGAGUAACACGUGGGUGAUCUGCCCUGCACUUCGGGAUAAGCCUGGGAAACUGGGUCUAAUACCGGAUAGUAGCCAUUUUUAGUGUGAUGGUUGGAAAGUUUUUUCGGUGUAGGAUGAGCUCGCGGCCUAUCAGCUUGUUGGUGGGGUAAUGGCCUACCAAGGCGGCGACGGGUAGCCGGCCUGAGAGGGUGGACGGCCACAUUGGGACUGAGAGACGGCCCAGACUACUACGGGAGGCAGCAGUGGGGAAUAUUGCACAAUGGGAGCAAGCCUGAUGCAGCGACGCCGCGUGGGGGAUGACGGCAUUCGGGUUGUAAACUACUUUCGCUAGGGACGAAGCUUUUUGUGAAGGUACCUAGAUAAGAAGCACCGGCAAACUACGG